rnacentral:tRNA from 1 species
GGAGGGUUGCAGUCCGGGUUGCAUCCACCUCCGUUCGCUGGGGUUCACAAUGCCGAUUGGCAACGAUCCGCCGCAGUUCAGGAUCCUGACGAACGCAUCCGGGCACCCGUGCGAACACUUGGAAAGCGUGUUGGGGGCAACCCCUCACGAGUUCGAAUCUCGUAUCCUCCGCCA